GGGGAAUCUUGCACAAUGGAGGAAACUCUGAUGCAGCGACGCCGCGUGAGUGAUGAAGCCCCUCGGGGUGUAAAGCUCUUUCGACGGGAAAGAUUAUGACGGUACCCGAAGAAGAAGCUGCGGCUAACUACGUGCCAGCAGCCGCGGUAAUACGUAGGCAGCAAGCGUUGUUCGGAAUUACUGGGCGUAAAGAGUGUGUAGGCGGUGCUCUAAGUCUGUUGUGAAAUCUCCCGGCUUAACUGGGAGGGUGCGGCGGGAACUAGUGUGCUAGAGGGUGGGAGAGGUAAGCGGAAUUCCUGGUGUAGCGGUGAAAUGCGUAGAUAUCAGGAGGAACACCUGUGGUGUAGACAGCUUACUGGACCACUUCUGACGCUGAGACACGAAAGCGUGGGUAGCAAACAGGAUUAGAUACCCUGGUAGUCCACGCCCUAAACGAUGCAUACUUGGUGUGAGCCAUUCAUUUGGUUCGUGCCGGAGCUAACGCGUUAAAUAUGCCGCCUGGGGAGUACAGUCGCAAGGCUG
rnacentral:rRNA from 1 species